GAUGAACGCUGGCGGCGUGCCUAAUACAUGCAAGUCGAGCGAACGGACGAGAAGCUUGCUUCUCUGAUGUUAGCGGCGGACGGGUGAGUAGCACGUGGAUAACCUACCUAUAAGACUGGGAUAACUUCGGGAAACCGGCGCUAAUCCCGGAUAAUAUUUUGAACCGCAUGGUUCAAAAGUGAAAGACGGUCUUGCUGUCACUUAUAGAUGGAUCCGCGCUGCAUUAGCUAGUUGGUAAGGUAACGGCUUACCAAGGCAACGAUGCAUAGCCGACCUGAGAGGGUGAUCGGCCACACUGGAACUGAGACACGGUCCAGACUCCUACGGGAGGCAGCAGUAGGGAAUCUUCCGCAAUGGGCGAAAGCCUGACGGAGCAACGCCGCGUGAGUGAUGAAGGUCUUCGGAUCGUAAAACUCUGUUAUUAGGGAAGAACAUAUGUGUAAGUAACUGUGCACAUCUUGACGGUACCUAAUCAGAAAGCCACGGCUAACUACGUG
rnacentral:rRNA from 1 species